UAGCCGUAAACGAUACUCGCUAGGUGUCGGCCAUGGUGCGACCGUUGUCGGUGCCGUAGGGAAGCCGUGAAGCGAGCCACCUGGGAAGUACGGCCGCAAGGCUGAAACUUAAAGGAAUUGGCGGGGGAGCACCACAACGGGUGGAGCUUGCGGUUUAAUUGGAUUCAACGCCGGAAAUCUUACCGGGACCGACAGCAAUAUGAAGGCCAGGCUGAAGACUUUGCCGGAUUAGCUGAGAGGAGGUGCAUGGCGUAGUCGUG
rnacentral:rRNA from 1 species